rnacentral:rRNA from 1 species
UGGGGAAUAUUGCACAAUGGGCGCAAGCCUGAUGCAACCAUGCCGCGUGUAUGAAGAAGGCCUUCGGGUUGUAAAGUACUUUCAGUCGGGAGGAAGGUGGUAAGGUUAAUAACCUUGGCAAUUGACGUUACCGACAGAAGAAGCACCGGCUAACUCCGUGCCAGCAGCCGCGGUAAUACGGAGGGUGCAAGCGUUAAUCGGAAUUACUGGGCGUAAAGCGCACGCAGGCGGUUGAUUGAGUCAGAUGUGAAAUCCCCGGGCUUAACCCGGGAAUUGCAUCUGAUACUGGUCAGCUAGAGUCUUGUAGAGGGGGGUAGAAUUCCAUGUGUAGCGGUGAAAUGCGUAGAGAUGUGGAGGAAUACCGGUGGCGAAGGCGGCCCCCUGGACAAAGACUGACGCUCAGGUGCGAAAGCGUGGGGAGCAAACAGG